rnacentral:lncRNA from 1 species
AUAGUGAUAUAUACACCGCUUGCGGCGGCGAUUCGCCUUGAGUUGGCCGUUUUCGGCCGAAUUCGGUCACGCUUGCAUCGGUCCCUGCGAUAGAACAGCCCUAGGGCCCUCGGUGGGCCGAAAAAUUACGAAAAAUUAAAACUUACCGGCGGUGGUGCUCUCGGGUGCGACGGCUCCUCCGGCGUGAGUCGUGUUUUGAUAUUUGGCUCCGAUCAACCUAUAGAGAAAAGAACGGUGAUCACAGUGGUAUAAAAUUUACAUCAAACGGAGGUCGGGAAGGGCCUCAUCGGAGGCAAAAACCGAGGAGGGGCGCGGCGGCGCCGUUGGAUUUCGGCUGGGUUUUCCAGCCAUUUGGUUGGUGGUUUGGCUCUAGUUUGGCCAUAGGUGGACUCAGCGUCGAAAAACGAGCAAGGGGGAGAAAAUUUACCUCGAUCGACGGUCGGAAACUUCCCCGGUGCGGCGGCGAGUGGCGGCGGCCGGCUCCUCCGGCUUCUGG